GGUUAAGCGAAUAAGCGUACACGGUGGAUGCCUAGGCAAUCAGAGGCGAUGAAGGACGUGCUAAUCUGCGAAAAGCGUCGGUAAGGUGAUAUGAACCGUUAUACCCGACGAUAUCCGAAUGGGGAAACCCAGUAUCCAAUGGAUACUAUCAUUAACUGAAUCCAUAGGUUAAUGAGGCGAACCGGGAGAACUGAAACAUCUCAGUACCCCGAGGAAAAGAAAUCAACCGAGAUUCCCCUAGUAGCGGCGAGCGAACGGGGAGCAGCCCAGAGUCUUAAUCAAUAGCAGUGUCAGGAGAACGGUCUGGAAAGUCCGGCAGUAAAGGGUGAUAGCCCCGUAUCUGAAGAUGCUGUUAUUGUGAACUCGACGAGUAGGGCGGGACACGUGUUAUCCUGUCUGAAUAUGGGGGGACCAUCCUCCAAGGCUAAAUACUCCUGAUUGACCGAUAGUGAACCAGUACCGUGAGGGAAAGGCGAAAAGAACCCCGGCGAGGGGAGUGAAAAAGAACCUGAAACCGUGUACGUACAAGCAGUAGGAGCCCCAUCACUCAAGUGCCUCGCACUGAGUGAUGCAAGAACAUCACCGAAAAUAGCGCCGAAUUUGCUAACAAGGUUGGUCGAUUUUUUCAAGCCGUCGCGCAGUGUACCUAGAAGUACACGAGCAACGGAAGUUAAAAAAUCGGGCAAGAUUGAACGCAAAGGCAAGCGGGACAUUUGAGGAUGGGGUGACUGCGUACCUUUUGUAUAAUGGGUCAGCGACUUAUAUUCUGUAGCAAGGUUAACCGUAUAGGGGAGCCGUAGGGAAACCGAGUCUUAACUGGGCGAAUGAGUUGCAGGGUAUAGACCCGAAACCCGGUGAUCUAUCCAUGGGCAGGUUGAAGGUUGGGUAACACUAACUGGAGGACCGAACCGACUAAUGUUGAAAAAUUAGCGGAUGACUUGUGGAUGGGGGUGAAAGGCCAAUCAAACCGGGAGAUAGCUGGUUCUCCCCGAAAGCUAUUUAGGUAGCGCCUCGUGAACUCAUCUUCGGGGGUAGAGCACUGUUUCGACUAGGGGGUCAUCCCGACUUACCAACUCGAUGCAAACUGCGAAUACCGAAGAAUGUUAUCACGGGAGACACACGGCGGGUGCUAACGUCCGUCGUGAAGAGGGAAACAACCCAGACCGCCAGCUAAGGUCCCAAAGUCAUGGUUAAGU
rnacentral:rRNA from 1 species